rnacentral:rRNA from 1 species
CGCCCAUUAAAGCGGUACGUGAGCUGGGUUCAGAACGUCGUGAGACAGUUCGGACUCUAUCCAUCGUGGGCGCAGGAGACUUGAGGGGAGCUGCCCUUAGUACGAGAGGACCAGGGUGGACGUACCUCUGAUCUACGAGUUGUCACGCCAGUGGCAUUGCUCGGUAGUCAAGUACGGCAGGGAUAACCGCUGAAGGCAUCUAAGCGGGAAGCCCACCCCAAGAUGAGGUCUCCCGUGCGUUUCCGCUUCGGUGGAAACGCCCUGAAGGCUCCUGGUAGACGACCAGGUCGAUAGGCCACAGGUGUAAGCGCAGUAAUGCGUUCAGCCGAGUGGUACUAAUAAGCCGUGCGGCUUGAGGUU